CCUACGGGAGGCAGCAGUGGGGAAUAUUGCACAAUGGGGGAAACCCUGAUGCAGCGACGCCGCGUGAGGGAAGAAGGAUUUCGGUACGUAAAGCUCUAUCAGCGGGGAAGAAGAAAGACGGUACCCGACAAAGAAGCACCGGCUAACUACGUGCCAGCAGCCGCGGUAAUACGUGGGGGGCGAGCGUUAUCCGGAAAUACUGGGGGUAAAGGGAGCGUAGACGGCGAGGUAAGCCUGAAGUGGAAGCCCGCGGCCCAACCGCGGAACUGCUUUGGGAACUGUUUUGCUGGAGUAUGGGAGGGGUAAGCGGAAUUCCUGGUGUAGCGGUGAAAUGCGUAGAUAUCAGGAGGAACACCGGUGGCGAAGGCGGCUUACUGGACCAUAACUGACGUUGAGGCUCGAAAGCGUGGGGAGCGAACAGGAUUAGAUACCCGUGUAGUC
rnacentral:rRNA from 1 species